GAUGAACUCUGGCGGCGUGCCUAAUACAUGCAAGUCGAGCGAACAGAUAAGGAGCUUGCUCCUUUGACGUUAGCGGCGGACGGGUGAGUAACACGUGGGUAACCUACCUAUAAGACUGGGAUAACUUCGGGAAACCGGAGCUAAUACCGGAUAAUAUUUCGAACCGCAUGGUUCGAUAGUGAAAGAUGGUUUUGCUAUCACUUAUAGAUGGACCCGCGCCGUAUUAGCUAGUUGGUAAGGUAACGGCUUACCAAGGCGACGAUACGUAGCCGACCUGAGAGGGUGAUCGGCCACACUGGAACUGAGACACGGUCCAGACUCCUACGGGAGGCAGCAGUAGGGAAUCUUCCGCAAUGGGCGAAAGCCUGACGGAGCAACGCCGCGUGAGUGAUGAAGGUCUUCGGAUCGUAAAACUCUGUUAUUAGGGAAGAACAUACGUGUAAGUAACUGUGCACGUCUUGACGGUACCUAAUCAGAAAGCCACGGCUAACUACGUGCCAGCAGCCGCGGUAAUACGUAGGUGGGCAGCGUUAUCCGGAAUUAUUGGGCGUAAAGCGCGCGUAGGCGGUUUUUUUAAGUCUGAUGUGAAAGCCCACGGCUCAACCGUGGAGGGUCAUUGGAAACUGGAAAACUUGCGUGCAGAAGAGGAAAGUGGAAUUCCGUGUGUAGCGGUGAAAGUGCGCAUAGAUAUGGAGGAACACCGGUGAGCGGAAGGCGACUUUCUGGUCAGUAACUGACGCUGAUGUGCGAAAGCGUGGGGAUCAAACAGGAUUACAUACCCUGGUAGUCCACGCCGUAAACGAUGAGUGCUAAGUGUUAGGGGGUUUCCGCCCCUUAGUGCUGCAGCUAACGCAUUAAGCACUCCGCCUGGGGAGUACGACCGCAAGGUUGAAACUCAAAGGAAUUGACGGGGACCCGCACAAGCGGUGGAGCAUGUGGUUUAAUUCGAAGCAACGCGAAGAACCUUACCAAAUCUUGACAUCCUUUGACAACUCUAGAGAUAGAGCUUUCCCCUUCGGGGGACAAAGUGACAGGUGGUGCAUGGUUGUCGUCAGCUCGUGUCGUGAGAUGUUGGGUUAAGUCCCGCAACGAGCGCAACCCUUAAGCUUAGUUGCCAUCAUUAAGUUGGGCACUCUAAGUUGACUGCCGGUGACAAACCGGAGGAAGGUGGGGAUGACGUCAAAUCAUCAUGCCCCUUAUGAUUUGGGCUACACACGUGCUACAAUGGACAAUACAAAGGGUAGCGAAACCGCGAGGUCAAGCAAAUCCCAUAAAGUUGUUCUCAGUUCGGAUUGUAGUCUGCAACUCGACUACAUGAAGCUGGAAUCGCUAGUAAUCGUAGAUCAGCAUGCUACGGUGAAUACGUUCCCGGGUCU
rnacentral:rRNA from 1 species